UAGCGGGAGGCCUAACACAUGCAAGCCGAGCGGUAGAGAUUCUUCGGAAUCUUGAGAGCGGCGUACGGGUGCGGAACACGUGUGCAACCUACCUUUAUCUGGAGGAUAGCCUUUCGAAAGGAAGAUUAAUACUCCAUAAUAUAUUGAUUGGCAUCAAUUGAUAUUGAAAGCUCCGGCGGAUAGAGAUGGGCACGCGCAAGAUUAGUUAGUUGGUGAGGUAACGGCUCACCAAGACGAUGAUCUUUAGGGGCCUGAGAGGGUGAUCCCCCACACUGGUACUGAGACACGGACCAGACUCCUACGGGAGGCAGCAGUGAGGAAUAUUGGUCAAUGGGUGCAAGCCUGAACCAGCCAUCCCGCGUGAAGGACGACUGCCCUAUGGGUUGUAAACUUCUUUUGUAUAGGGAUAAACCUACCCUCGUGAGGGUAGCUGAAGGUACUAUACGAAUAAGCACCGGCUAACUCCGUG
rnacentral:rRNA from 1 species